CGGCCGCUCGGCCCCGGCGUCUUCAAACUUGCCGCGCGCGGGGCGCCGCGGGCCGGGGUCGCCGGGCCCCUGAGGAUAACGGUCAGGGCUUGAUCUCCCUGAGACACCACGGUGGUCGGCAAGCGGACCGGGUAAAGAGUUCAGCGCUUUGUAUGAGAGAGAAAAAGAAAAAAAAACAACAACAACUAUUCCUCAACAGUCAAGACAAGGGCUUUUCAAAGUUAUUGCAUCUCAAAGGCUAUGGUGAUCAGUGCUGCUAUGAACUUGGCUAAGCAGAUUGCUUCAAAAUCCUGCCUUCAGUCCUUGGGACACGCUGAUGUCCUCAGGAGUAGGUUUACAAGGUCAUAUGGAGACUUGUCCUUUAAGAGUUUGGAAAUUGUUCAUCAAAGGGGUAAAGCAGGAGCAACGUGUACCUCAGAGUCACAGACUAAAAGAAAACAGUGAUGAGGGGCCUGUACUGUGGCACAGCAGGUUAACACCCUGGCCUGAAGGGCCGGCAUCCCAUAUGGGCGCCGGUUCGAGACCCAGCUGCUCCACUUCCGAUCCAGCUCUCUGCUAUGGCCUGGGAAAGCAGUAGAAGAUGGCCCAAGUCCUUGGGGAAUAAACCAUUGGAUGGAAGACCUCUCCCUUUCUCUGCCUCUCCUUUC